GACGAACGCUGGCGGCGUGCCUAAUACAUGCAAGUAGAACGCUGAAGGAGGAGCUUGCUUCUCUGGAUGAGUUGCGAACGGGUGAGUAACGCGUAGGUAACCUGCCUGGUAGCGGGUGAUAACUAUUGGAAACGAUAGCUAAUACCGCAUAAGAGUCGAUGUCGCAUGACAUUUGCUUAAAGGUUGCACUUUCAUCACUACCAGAUGGACCUGCGUUGUAUUAGCUAGUUGGUGAGGUAACGGCUCACCAAGGCAACGAUACAUAGCCGACCUGAGAGGGUGAUCGGCCACACUGGGACUGAGGAACGGCCCAGACUCCUACGGGAGGCAGCAGUAGGGGAUCUUCGGCAAUGGACGGAAGUCUGACCGAGCAACGCCGCGUGAGGGAAGAAGGUUUUCGGAUCGGAAAGCUCUGUUGGAAGAGAAGAACGAGUGUGAGAGUGGAAAGUUCACACUGUGACGGUAUCUUACCAGAAAGGGACGGCUAACUACGUG
rnacentral:rRNA from 1 species